AACGAACGCUGGCGGCAGGCCUAACACAUGCAAGUCGAACGCUCCGCAAGGGGGAGUGGCGCACGGGUGAGUAACACGUGGGAACCUACCUUCUGGUACGGAACAACCAAGGGAAACUUUGGCUAAGACCGUAUACGACCUCCGGGUGAAAGAUUGAUCGCCGGAAGAGGGGCCCGCGUCCGAUUAGGUAGUUGGUGAGGUAACGGCUCACCAAGCCUUCGAUCGGUAGCUGGUCUGAGAGGAUGACCAGCCACACUGGGACUGAGACACGGCCCAGACUCCUACGGGAGGCAGCAGUGGGGAAUAUUGCGCAAUGGGCGAAAGCCUGACGCAGCGACGCCGCGUGUGGGAUGACGGCCUCGGUUG
rnacentral:rRNA from 1 species